rnacentral:rRNA from 1 species
GAUGAACGCUGACAGAAUGCUUAACACAUGCAAGUCUUUGGCGAAUCUGUGCUUGCACAGGCUAGCCAAGGCGGACGGGUGAGUAACGCGUAAAGAACUUGCCCUGCAGACAGGGAUAACAGACGGAAACGACUGAUAACACCUGAUACAGUUGCCGGCACGCAUGUGCCUGGCAAUGAAAAGAGAUGCUGCAGGAGAGCUUUGCGUCCUAUUAGCUUGUUGGUGAGGUGACGGCUCACCAAGGCGAUGAUAGGUAGCCGGCCUGAGAGGGUGAACGGCCACAAGGGGACUGAGAGACGGCCCUUACUCCUACGGGAGGCAGCAGUGGGGAAUAUUGGACAAUGGGGGCAACACUGAUCCAGCAAUUCUGUGUGCACGAAGAAGGUUUUCGGAUUGUAAAGUGCUUUCAGCAGGGAAGAAGAAAGUGACGGUACCUGCAGAAGAAGCGACGGCUAAAUACGUG